UACGAAGGGUGCAAGCGUUACUCGGAAUUACUGGGCGUAAAGCGUGCGUAGGCGGCCCGCUAAGUCGGAUGUGAAAUCCCCAGGCUUAACCUGGGAACUGCAUCCGAUACUGGAUGGCUUGAAUUCGGGAGAGGGAUGCAGAAUUCCAGGUGUAGCGGUGAAAUGCGUAGAUAUCUGGAGGAAUACCGGUGGCGAAGGCGGCAUCCUGGACCGACAUUGACGCUGAACGGCGAAAGCUAGGGGAGCAAACGGG
rnacentral:rRNA from 1 species